rnacentral:rRNA from 1 species
GACGAACGCUGGCGGCGUGCUUAACACAUGCAAGUCGAGCGGUAAGGCCCUUUCGGGGGUACGACGAGCGGCGAACGGGUGAGUAACACGUGGGUGACCUGCCCUCAGCUCUGGGAUAAGCCCGGGAAACUGGGUCUAAUACCGGAUAUGACUUCAUGACGCAUGUUGUGGAGUGGAAAGCCUUGUGCGGCUGAGGAUGGGCCCGCGGCCUAUCAGCUUGUUGGUGGGGUGAUGGCCUACCAAGGCGACGACGGGUAGCCGGCCUGAGAGGGCGACCGGCCACACUGGGACUGAGAUACGGCCCAGACUCCUACGGGAGGCAGCAGUGGGGAAUCUUGCGCAAUGGGCGAAAGCCUGACGCAGCGACGCCGCGUGAGGGAUGACGGGCCCU